rnacentral:rRNA from 1 species
AGGCCCCGACUGUUUACUUAAAACACAGCUUUCUGCAACGAUUAAUAUCUUUGUAUAGGAAGCGAAUUUUGCCCAAUGCCAUUAAUAUAAUUGAAGUUCUGGUCAAUGGCGGUCUUAACCAUGAGGAUCCCUAGGUAGCAAAAUUAAUUGUCCAUUAA